CCCUAAGCCUCUCCAUCCCUCAGAUCUCAAUCUACCGCCACCCCUAUCCCUACCCCCGCGUAGCCCAACCCAAUCCGCCGCUAUCCUCUACCCAGAUCCCUCCCCGCUCCGGCGAGCCCGCCAUUAACCGUCUGCGGGCGGCAGCGCAGCGGGAGCAGCGAGUGCUUCACCUCCCCGGGCCGUGUCUCCCCCUUCCACCACAGCUCCUCCUCCACCUUCUUUGCGGCCUCCCUCCCGGGCACCGCCCAACAGCAGCCUCGACAGGGACGACCUGGACCCGGACCCGGUCGUGGCCACCACGGAGGCCCUCGCCAAGGUUGACCUCUCCGACGACCCGGACGCAACCGCCAACGCAAAGUCUCGCUCCAGCAAGCCCCGUCAGGCAGCCAGAGGCGGCGGCUGUGACGUGGGCAAGUCGCUCGACUACCUGUACCGCGCAUGCAGGAUCGCUACCCUCGCCGUGAAGCACAUCGACGUCGCCGUCUCCGUCCUCUCCCGCUUCAUGGAGUCCAAGAAGCUCGCCAGCCUCGCCGAGUUCCGAGACGACCACGCCUAGAUCUCCGAGGAUGGAUUCUAUCUAGCAUCCGAUUGACUACUUCACCUCAUCGAUCAAGCCAUGCUCUCCUCAUCAGUCUUUUUAUUUACCAUCCAGAAGACCAGACCUGUGCUUUCAGUUCAGUUUCGUCAGAUAUAUCUGCUGCCAUGCUCUUCUAUUUGUAUUCAGUUUGAUCAGACUUGUGGUUCCUGGACGGCCUUGGCUAUCCUAUUUAUCUCAGCUUCAUCAGUUAGGGGCAAUCAAUGUAGCAGUAGUGUAACAUUGAUUUGCAUCUUAUCUUAUCUAUGGGAAAAAUGAUCAAAUCGAAUUGCAGGAGCUAUCUUAAUUAGCUUCAUCUGUUCGGAUCAUGUGUCAAUCAUAUUAGCUGUGAUGCCAUAUUUAUGUUCGUAUUAGCUGCAUCUUAUUUGUGUUUCCCCAGUUUAUGAAUCAUGUUUUCGUUUACGUGCCGUAAGAAGGCUGUAUUUGGUAAUCACCCAAAA